rnacentral:lncRNA from 1 species
UUAAAUUCCGUCUCAUCUGCGGUACAUAAACUGUAUUUUUCAAAACAAGAUAAAAACCAGACUCUAAAGUUAACUUCACUACUCCUAUGAAUUCAACCUUCACUUGAAAUCCAUUUGCAACGCUCAAACUUACUUCAUUCUCACUUGGCCUCCGUUUGCUUAUCAACCCCUGCAAGGAAUUCGCAAUAUGAAUACUAGCUCCCGAGUCUAACC